AAUGGUUGUGUUGUGGAAUAAAACCAGUACGAUCGCGGCACUGGCCACGCAAGGACAACUGUGAUGAUUUUUGGCUUCUGGAAGCUUGGAGGAAAGCUCAGCACUUGCAUUGAAGAACUGACGGAGGACAGAGGACGCCGGCCCCCGACGAGGCUGCCUGAGAACCUGCAGGAGAAGGCGAGCGUGAGCCAAGCCCUGGCGUCCUGCCCCCGAGGGCCUCGCCUGGGUGCUGCGACCAGUUGUCUGGAAGCCACACCUAUCGCUUGGGCCCACGUUGCACAGAUCAGAACCCAGGGAUGUGAUCCAGCCACGUGCCAGGAAGACAGGAAGUGCCGAUUUCCAGAGUCCAGGAAGUGGAAAAU
rnacentral:lncRNA from 12 species